AACAACUGGGGACUGCCAAGAAGGGGUUCUGUUUAUAAAAGAGCAUCAACUCGCUUAGGCCAUGACGUUCACCCAGCCCUUCCUCUGGAGCAACCGCUGCCCUGUGAAUAAGAGCCGAUGGAGGAGAUCGCAGCUUCGGUGGUGAUGACAGAAAAUGAUUUCGGUUCUGCUCCUAAACCAGGUGCACUGGAUGCUGCUGCUGUACACAUACAGCAAUUGGAAGAAACAGUCAAGGAGCUGAUGAGAGCAGUCACAGCUGAAAGUGGUUCAAGUGCCUUUUCACAGAUUUUGUGUCUCAGACGAGGACAUCCUUUUUUACACCAGAUUCACGUCAAGAGAUGUUUUUUGUGACUUCUGGGAGGUUAUUCAACCAUCUACCUCCAUGUUGGUUUAUUGGUCGAAAGCUCAGAAAAAGAAACAAACAUUUGAACCCAUUUCUCCCAGUCCAACGUGUAGACUGCAACUGGUUGAGUUUUUUCUCUUCUGCUGCCGGGUUGCUGCAGGCAUGCAAGAGAAGGUGCUGGCUGACAUGUUUCAGGUCAGUGUGUCCACUGUCUCCCAUGUUGUUAUACCGUGGGCCAACUACCGUUACCUGCUCCUUGGCUCCCUCCCCUACUCCUUGGCUCCCUCCCCAUCUGGAUGAGUAAACAGCAAGUCAAGAACACCAUGCCAAGCAAAUUGGUGCAGUACAGUCCAGAUGUUCGGGUAAUCAUCGACUGCACCAAGUGCAGUCGAUGAUUACCCGAACAUCAUCUUACAAGAACACGACAACCUUUAAGGCCUUGAUUGGGAUUGCCCCUUGUAGUGCUGUGACUUUUGUGUCAAGGCUCCAUCUCCGACCCAGAGCUGACUGAAUGAAGUGGACUGCUGGAUUUACUGGAGCCAGGAGAUGGCUGCAUGGCAGACAAGGGUUUCACCAUCGAGAAGCCACUAGCUGAUCGUGGGGCAACGCUGAUUAUACCACCCUUCAAGAUGACAGUUCACUGAAGAGGAUGCUCUGAAAACACCAGCAAUCGCUCAACUUCGAAUCCUCGUAGAAAGAGCAAUAGGCAGAGUCAAGGAAUAACGCAUCUGGGAACGCACUGUCCUCUCACCUUGUCUGCGACAGUCAAUCAGCUGUGGACCGUCUGCUGUGUGAUGACCAACUUCCAGGGACCACUUGAUUUAAAAGGCUACAUCCCUGUUGAAUGGUGUUUCUACUCAAACAUGUACCUAUAAAUAUUAAAUAUAAUAUGUAAAUAUUAAAACGAGAGGCACUGAA